rnacentral:rRNA from 1 species
UACGGAGGGAGCUAGCGUUGUUCGGAAUUACUGGGCGUAAAGCGCGCGUAGGCGGCUUUGUAAGUUAGAGGUGAAAGCCCGGGGCUCAACCCCGGAACUGCUUUCGAAACUGCCAAGCUAGAGUGCGGAAGAGGCAACUGGAAUUCCCAGUGUAGCGGUGAAAUGCGUAGAUAUUGGGAAGAACACCGGAGGCGAAGGCGGGUUGCUGGGCCGACACUGACGCUGAUGCGCGAAAGCCAGGGGAGCGAACGGG